rnacentral:lncRNA from 1 species
GACGGCGCCGCUCAGGGCUGGACCCCCGACCCCGGCCGGCCCCCGCCCGGCUCCAGUCCCCGCCACCCGUGCUAGGCACCCUGUGCGGUCGGGCAGGCAGCCGCUGCCAGCGACCUGGGCCUCUUGUCCUCUGACGCGCCUCGGGGCAGGGGCAGGGGCCGAGGCCGCCCACUAGAGGAACAGGAUCUGCCUACGCAGCUGUCUCGCCCGGCAAAGAGCGCCCAGGACCCGGGACUGCGUCCUCUUCACUGAGACCUGGCGCAUAGGGGGCCUAGUCGAGGCUGUUAAGUGAAAGCAAGCAGGGGUGGCGUGGGCCUGGCGCUCAGGUGCGCCCUAAAUGUUUGGUCAUAGCUGGCUACAAGGACAUUCGCGCAGGCUUGGAGGUGCGGGGCAGCCUGACGUGUUGCCUCUGGGGUAACCGAGGGACGCGCGGCAAACAGAGAUGGAGGACUGGCAACGGGUGCCUCGAAGAGGUAGACUGGGAGAUCUCUCAGGGUUACUGGGGAAACGAUGACUGUGCAGGGUGAGAACUCAGUGAGUCUGGCAGAAGGCUGGGAGGGUGACCGGCAGGACCUUCCAAGAACCCGGCGUACCUGGAAACUGGGUCCGCAGCAUUAGGGCGGCAGCAAGGUCAGGGUGUGGGAACACGGAGAUGAGGCCCUGGUGACUAGGAGUGAGCACACACUGCUAACCAUGGAGAAAUUCCUUCUCCAGGAAGGAGAUGCAAAUGUGCAAGAUGGCUGGAACUAACAUGCAGCCGGAGCCUGCUGUGCACCAGGCACAGAACUGAGUUGAAGAGCUUGUCUAAAGAGUAUGUUAGCCAAUGAAGCAAUGGAGUUAAUAAAGGGUGAUGAUUUCAAAUGUUUGGCAGUGAGAGAGAGAAAAGUAGGCCUGGAGCUCAAGAAGUACCAAGAGUAAAGGAGAAAGUUGGGUCCUACUGUGGAAGCUGAGGCAAAAGCAUCCCUUAAGCCGAGAAGUUUGAGUUCAGCCUGGGCAACAUAGCGAGACCCUCCCUCUCUGCAAAAGAGUAAAGGGAAAAGUUGAUUGUUUUUUGUUUUUUUUUUUUGUCUUUGGAGACGGAGUUUCGGUCUCGCAGCCCAGGCUGUAGUGCAAUUGCGUGGUCUCGGCUCACUGCAACCUCUACCUCCAGAGUUCCAGUGAUAAUCCAGCCUCAGCCUUCAAAGUAGCUGGAAUUACAGGCGCACGCCACCAUGCCUGGCUUUUUUUUUUUUUUUUUUUUUUUUUUUUUUUGAGAGAGAGUUUCGCUCUUGUUGCCCAGGCUGCAGUGCAAUGGCACAAUCUCGGCUCACUGCAACCUCUGCCUCCUGGGUUCAACCGAUUCUCCUGCCUCAGCCUCCCGAGUAGCUGGGAUUACAGGCAUGCGCCACCAUGCCUGACUAAUUUUGUAUUUUUAGUGGAAAUGGGGUUUCAACAUGUUGGUCAGGCUGGUCUCAAACUCCUGAACUCAGGUCAUCCACCCGCCUCGGCCUCCGAAAGUGCUGGGAUUACAUGCAUGAGCCACCGCACCCGGCCCUAAUUUUUGUAUUUUUAGUAGAGAUGGGGGUUCGCCAUGUUGGCCAGGCUGGUCUCGAACUCCUGACCUAAGGUGAUCCACCUGCCUUAGCCUCCCAAAGUGUUGGAAUUACAGGCAUGAGCCACCAUGCCUGGCCGGUGAUUUUUUUUUUUUUUUUCCUAACUUGAGUGGGGAGACCUUAACUAAAGGAGCUGAGAGGGGAGAAUGGCAGAUAGAUGUAGGAUAAUUGAUGGUGCAAGAAACCAGAAAAGGAAAAGUAGAUGGGAAGGGGGAAAGGGGUGAGCAAAAAGUCAGAGAAGUCCGCCUCUUCCUACAAGAUUUAAAGAGUGCAUAAAGAUUGAAAUAUUUUGAGGUAGGGAGGCAUGCAUGCUUCCAUGGAUCAGCUGCCUGGAUUACCCUCUACAAUCAUCCUUAGGGCAGCUGGGGUCACUGUCCUUUAAAAUUUAAGUACAAUUGACUCCAAACCUGUGUACCACUUAAGAAACCCAGCAUACCUGCCAAUAUCUCCAGAGUUUCAUUGGGAACUUACAUUUCUCCUAAUUAUCUCAGGCCCUAAUUUCUUGUUUGCAAAAAAUAUUGUGCUCUUUGGAAGAUUUGUCACCAUAUCCCAGAUAUUAGUCCAUUUAUAUUACCUCAAAAUAUUGCACCCUACCUAUAAGCAGGAAAAAUGCCCAAUAUUAUAUUAUUAUAUUAUAGUUAUAUGAUUGUUAAAUAAACUAGAGUUUGUGGCCAUUAAAAAUCAUGGUAAAUAAAAAGAUUUAAUGAUGUGGGAAAUCUUUAUAAUUAAAAGCACAUUAUAAGGUGAUAUAGCAGAUGGUAAUAUAUAAAUAUACAUAAAUAAGUAUAAUGCGUAGAUUUUAAAAUGAGACUUUUCUUCUGUGACAUCUAUAUUUUCUUAUUUUUAUAGUGCAUGUAUAUUUCUCCUGGAAGCAGGGAAAUGGUAUCUUUAAGUAGCUUUUAAAAGUAUUUUUAAGAAAGGUGUUUUUUAAAAGAUAUUUAUGGGGUUCGAAAGAAAAAAAUAUUAGGGCUGGGCAUGAUGGCUCAUGCCUGUAAUUCCAGCUACUUGGGAGGCCGAGGCUGGUGGAUCACCUGAGGUCAGGAGUAUGGGACCAGCCUGGCCAACAUGGUGAAACCCCAUCUCUACUAAAAGUACAGGCGUGGUGGCACGCCUGUAGUCCCAGCUACUUGGGUGGCUGAAGCAUGAGAAUCACUUGAACCCAGGAGGUGGAGGUUGCAGUGAGCUGAGAUUGCACCACUGCACUCCAGUCUGGGCAACAGAGUGAGAAUCUGUCUCAAAAGAAAAAGAAAAAUAUAUUAGGACUCUGGAAAGGAAUUUGGAAAUGAAUCUUUGAAGUGUAGAUGGGACUUUAGCAAAUAGAGAUGGGCUGAGUAAGGAGACUGUCCCAGGCAGAAGGAACAGUACAACCAAGAACCCACAGUGGGAAAUAGAUGGAGUGUUCAGAGGGGAGCACCAAGAAAUCCAUUUGGCUGGAGCACAGGACUGGUGUAGAAGAAAAGUAGGGGAAUCAAUGUGGAAAGGUAAGGUAGGAAAUGGGGUUUCAUGGACUAAAAUAAAAGGAAAAAUAAUGACUAUAUCAAAAAUGGUCCUGAAUGCCAAGCUGAACCCUGUGUCUUUUGCAUGUCAGGAAGAACCACUGAGGCUUGAACAGUGCAGGUAAUAAAUUUGCAAAUAAAUUGUCCUGUAACUUCUUACUCAAUGAGGUUUGAGGUCUCAACCCAUCAGUCCUAAUAUUUGGACAUCUAAUUGACUCAGAGCAAUGAGUUAGGGGCAGCAGUCUUUGCAUUACAGCUGUUUACAGACUGAAAGUUGGGCCUUGCUUCUCUGGCUAUUAAUGACUACAAUUUCUAUUCACCAGCACAGUUUCAGAGCGAGAACAAAUUAGCAAAGAGUAAAAUGGAAAGGAAAAAGAAAUGUGCACCUUAAACUAGUACUUUGAAAACUUUUUUGACUGCAAUCCUCCAUAAGAAAUGUAUUUUACACCUCAACCCAGAACAUACGCAUGCCUGCGCGCACACACACACACACACACACACACACACACACACACCCCGUAAGACGAAAGUUUCAUGAAAUACUACCCUUAUUUUAUGAAAUGCACUCUGAUAUUUUCAACUGAUUAAUCUUAUUCUUUUUAAAUGCUGAUCAGGACCUACUACAUUGAUUCCAUAACCCACUGCUGGGUCACAAAGGACAUUGAAAAGAGGCUCAACUAUAGCCAGAUAGCCUGCACCCUUAAGCUUGCCAUGUUUACAUGUCCCAGAAAUCAACAGGACAGACGAGACUCUUCUAAGAUGCUGUGGAGGGGUGGGAUGGAAGGAUUGACAGGAGCCAUGUUUGGGUUUCUCUUCCCUUCUCAGUAUAUAUUUCCUAAUAUCAAUAUUUCUCAGGGGCUAUAAACAUUUUCUUCUUUGUCCAGCUCAAGAUACAGAUUGAACUUCAAACAAGGUAGACCAGAGACAAUUUUUUAUUUGAAUGAAUAGAAUGGUGGACUAAAAUAAAAGGAAAAAUAAUGUCUUGAUUGUAACUGUUAUCUUAGUUGUGACAAUACAUUGAGGCCAUCUUAUCUAACACUGUUGGAGUAUUAUAAGGGCAAUAAGUUUAAUCUCUUCCUUAUAAGUUUGGAAGCAAUGGAAAGGUGAAAAUAUCAGCUUUAUUACCAAUAAAGCUGAACUGAAGAAUGUGGCUUAGAUGGUGGCCAAUAAGCUUUUUAAUAUUUUUCCCUGAAUUAAAAUUAUUUCCAGCCAGGCAUGGUUGCUCACACCUGUAAUUCCAGCACUUAGGGAGGCAGAGGUGGGAGGAUUGCUUGAAUCCAGGAGUUAAAGACCAGCCUGGGCAACAUAGCAAGACCCUGUUCUCCAUAAAAAGGAAAAAAUAAAAAAUAAAAUUAUUUUCCCAAAACCUCCAUUCUCCCCUUUGCAGAGGCCUAACCAUAUUAACCGUGUCUAAUUAGAGAAGAUUGCACCCUCUCUUAGGUCAGGCAGGUCUGAAUUCAGCAGUUAGGUAAGUCUCUGCUGGAAGAAUCAGAACAACUUCACUCCUACCUGCCCUUCUAUGGAAACAAAAGGAUUU